rnacentral:lncRNA from 1 species
CAUAGGCCAGCCCUCCUCAAGUUCCAGUAUUAUUUUUCCUUUCUUUGUUUUAUCCUCCAGCACCAGCCUUGACUGCGGUAACAGAAGAAGAAUCGUUUUGCUGGAGGAUACGAAAUCAAGGAGGAACACUGUGCGUGCUCAAGUACGUGCCUGAAAGAUGAACAGGAAGGGAGAGGAAAACGUAUGUUUGACUGCAGGAUAAUUGUAUCAGCACACUACAGUCCAGGACAUGGUUCAGCCCAGGAGACUGCAAUCCUGAAGUGGUGGGUGGUUUAACUUGAUGGUGAUUGUGCCAGAGACCAACAGAGACCAUCCUGGGAAGAGAGACCGUUGUGCAUCCUUUUGAGGUAAGGAGUAGCCUGUAGAAUAUCUUGCCUAAUGCACUGUGGUCCAUGAGUGGAUCCAAAGCUCUACUAUAGUACAGGUUGGUGAACAUCAGUGUCAAGGGUAUGGUAACAACUUCCAGAGCAGAUCAAAUGGUCCAGUGUUGGAUGGCUAAGAAGAUGUAGACGAAACAGCUUCUAACUGUGUAAAGCUGUGCUGGGGGAAUAAGAAGAAAUACGGGCAUCCACAGUCCUGAUGCUACAAUUUAUGAUGCAACAUAUUAAAGAAUUCCAGGACCAUUAUUCAUGUUGGCAGAAUGAGGUAAUUAUAUUGUGAUAAUCAAAAGCCACAGAUACUUUCUUUGACAGAACAAUUGAUAGAGAUAAGACUAAACAGAUGUGAUGUCUGAUCUCUUUUUGUACCUACUCUAGGAUGAGAUGAACAACAUGCAGAAUAUGCAUCUUUCUCUCUAUGGACUAAAAAGGGACCCUAGAAGCCGCACUUUCUGCGUUUAUCUGUUGCGUGGUGACAUCUGCCUUUGUUUCUCUCGUUUUUCCUCUACAAAAUGGAACAUGUUCUUCCUCCCACUAGUUAUUGGGAGGUUUCCUCGGUACGUUUGGGACAUAUUCUACCAGCAGGUCAAAAGACAAGUUGCAUUUUGACUUUGCACGUGAUGUAUGACCUUUAACAAAAGGACACAGGUUCAACGCAGAAGCGUAGUCUUUAAACAGUGAGUGAAAACAGCCUGUGCCUGCGUGCCUAGUUUUGGGUACACGUUAUUCCACAACGUGGCGGCCGCAAACGGGUGCGGGGUGAGAUUUGGAAACCAUAGUCCUGAGAAUCUGU